rnacentral:lncRNA from 1 species
UGUAGUGUUGUAUUCAAAUUUAUCUAGCACCUGAGCAAAGAAUACGGGCCUUUUGCGUGCCUAUAUAUGUCUGAUAAUCCGAAGCAUGUAAAUAAUGGAUGUACGGAGUAAAGCCGGUGCUAGCGUCCAAAGGAUGAUGGAAUCAGUACUCGACCAGGCCUGACUAUUGUGAUUCUACAGAACAGACUGUUCAAUGGGUCAUACCUUGCUCUGUUUGUGCGUGUGUGCAUGGAUUCGGCGGAGACCACCACUCACCACCCUCUGAUCCGGGAUAUUAGAAUGAGGGUGAGGAAUGGCGUGGCCUUUGAGGCCAAGCAUGUAUUCAGAGAGGGCCAACGGGGCGGCUGAUUGGAUGGCUGUAUAUGCGGUCCAUCACUUAAAAUACGCCCUGUGGGCAGAAAAGAGGGAGCUGCCAAAGUAGCGCCAUCGUAACAAUUCCAACAAUAAUUUAAGCUAAUCGAUAUGUUUUGGCUGGUGUAACUGGUGAGGUCCUACACCAAGAUAAACCAACCAGAUAUGACAUUAUGUGCUCGCAUAACCCAUCAGGAUAAAGCAUGUUCGGCUGAGGAUGAGCUGAGACUUUGGAUGGUCAAAUUCAAAUUGGCUGGUGCAGCAUUUGUUGCGGCCUGUAGCUAUAGUUGCAAAUGGAGACAUAGCAUGUAGCAAGAUCUAGUGGAUUUAUUCACCUGUUGGGCACACGUUGGAGGGGACGGCCUAAAUGACUACCAGAUGAGCAAG